ACACCGACGCAACCGAUCAGUAUCGACAACAUCAGACCCAUUUCGAACGACACGAUCAGACUUUCCCAUAAAAUUCGAUCGGGGUGAAAAGGGAGGGGCACCCACCACCCACGCCCGGUCGGUCCACUUCUCCAAGCUGAAGCCGGGUGUAGUCGAGUGGCAAGCUGAAAGUUGUCGCGUAUCCUGACCAGGCUAUCCGCGACUAACAGACGGAGAUAGAGAAGAGUCCUGGGUCCAUCCGUGGGAGCCGAUGAUCACACGAUUAUUCGGUUAUCCAUGCUGCCGGAUGGCGGCCAGAGAACUGUUUUAUUUUCCUCGGGCAAACCGUUCGGCCGGGAGGCGAAACUGGUGGCCGUUCGGCUCGUUAUGUCGACGUAACGUUCGACGAUGGCUAAGGCUAAAGUUAGCUCGAAUGUCCCUGGACGCGAAUCUCUGUCCUUAAUGGCCGCUUACACAGCCCGAUCGAUCAUUCGCCGGGAUAAUUAACCCGUGCCCAAUUUGGCAAUCGUCGCGCGUUUUGUCGCGCGGCAUCGCCAAUUAUUCGCCUAACGAUUUUACACCGUCGAUCGAUGAUCUACUCGACGCUCUAAUGAACCCGAUCGUCGAACGACGAUUCGAGAAUCUUCCGAAUAUUCGCCUGCGUGGGCGUGUGAUGUUUCAAUAUUUCGACGUCGCCAGGAAGAUGGUAACUUUGGCAGAUCCGUCGAGUUCCCUGGCUAUUGGUCAAACUUCGAAACGUCUUUUGUCCGGUAUACAACGGUUCUUUUAAUGAGAAACAACGUAGGAGUCGGGGAUACUAGAAAUGGUAGCGCAGAAAGGAUAUUCGACGAGACAUUAAACAAACUACGCCUACCAUCUCUCGUUAAUCAUUUAUGUAGAAAAUAAUGAUUUCGCAUCAGAUUUUCAAGUGAUGUUCGAA